UACAGAGACUGCAAGCGUUAUUCGGAUUCACUGGGCGUAAAGGGUGCGCAGGCGGCCGUGUGUGUGAGGCGUGAAAGCCUGGAGCUUAACUCCAGAAUUGCACCUCAAACUACAUGGCUAGAGCAUUGGAGAGGGUAGCGGAAUUCACGGUGUAGCAGUGAAAUGCGUAGAUAUCGUGAGGAACACCAGAGGCGAAGGCGGCAUCCUGGACC
rnacentral:rRNA from 1 species